CUGGAACAGACCCAAGCAGAGUUUUGGGGUUCCCAGCUGGUGAGGUCCCCACAAAAACCUGCUCAACAACAGAGUCUCUGAUACAGCAUUAACAAAGACCACCUCCUGCAAAGGCUCCCAGGCCAACUGAGGCCCUGGGGCCUCCAGCCAGCUUUAGGGCAGUAUGUCCUGGUGUUAGUGAGCAUGCAGGUGAAAGGAGAAAACAGGACAAAAGUAUAAAGGAGAAACAUCCCAUCCAGAAAGCCUUGCCUGCAGCCCGGUGCCAUCCUGCCUGUCCUGGAACCCAUAUGCUAGGCUAUUUGGUUUCUGCCCUCAAGGAUGCAGGGAUGGGCAAGGCAAAAAUUCCCUAGGUAAAAACUGAGGCAAUUGAUGAUGGGAGCUGAGGGGACUCUGACUCGGGUAUCACUGCUCCAUCUCAGAACAACCCCCACUGGAGCCUCAGGACUCCGGUUCCAUUUGCCAGAAUGAAACUUGGGCAGUAUGCAUCAGCUUGGGAGGUCCCUGUGACAUUCCAGCCCGGAAAAGGAUCCACAUCCAACAAAGAGAAGGAGCCCAAACCACCCUGGGUUGCUAACUGCUAUGUCAGAACUAGCGUAGCCUAGGCUUCCUGUCUCUGGGCCUUAAUAUCCACAGAGCACAGCAUCUACCACUCAGGGUUGCUCUGUCAUCAGAUGGCACUGCAUUUAGAGAGACCCAGGCAUGACCUAGGACCGUCCAUGUGGCCAUUUGCAGUUCACAUACUUCUCAAGACCCUUCACCCUUUACCUAAUUCAGGACUCUGGGACAGGGCAAAAUAGCCAGGGCACAUGAUUUGCCUGCAGGACAAGCCCAGGCCCAGGGAAGGGAAAACAGUCAAACUGGAGUCAGGACUAGGAGAAGAUCUCAUCCCUGUUUCCUUCUCCCACAACAGCCUGCAUGUGAGCGUGUCCCACAGGCCCCAGAUCACCUCCUCUGGGACACUGGAGGGCUCAGUCCAUCUUGCUGUCUCAUGAGGAAGCAGGGAUGGAGGGCAGGAAUGGAGGGCAGGAGAGGCGUCUUCCCCGGUGAGUCAUAGGGAGACUUGAGUUGUCUGCACCAUUUAGGGACUGGGUACCACGAGGCGUCCCGGGGGCUGGGCCUGCAGGGCCCUCAGAGGCUCCAGCUCCAGGCAGGCGGCCCUGAUCAGGGCGCACGUGGCUGCGGUGCAGCCGCACGGUGAUGUCAGGCCCACCGCGCCCGGGCCCCAGCACGUUCGUCCCGCUGGUGAGCCGGGAACAAAGCGUCCUCCACAUUCCUGUGCGCUGACUCAUAGCCGUCACGUAGCGCACUGCCAGCUGCUUUGCCCAAAAUUGGUGGCGAGGCGAGGGCGGGCCGAGCACCAUGGCCACCGCCUACUCGAAAAGCCACACAAGCUGGACCGCUUCGCGCCCCCGGCAUGAGGUUUCCCAACAAGCACAUCGGAGGGAAAUGACAGCGUGGGCUCUGUGGCCUGGAAUGCGAGGGUGGCAGCAGGUGAAUCUCUGAGGGAGGCUCAAGAAGCUUCGGUUUCUCCGUGCAGAUAAACACUCCAAGGUUGCAAGGACCUGAAUAGCUGUAUACAUAAUCUGGGAGAGAGGUUGUCAUCACAUAAAUGGCAAAGGGCAAGAAGAUCGGAGGAAUUCAUUCAUACAGACUGGAUUUGAGCCCUGAACAUACCUGGGAAAGCACCUGGACCUCUUAGAACCUGGAGAUCAACAAGUUGACAUACCUCAAAAGGUUAUGCUGUGAGCACUGAGUGUUAUGUCAUCAGAUUUGAUCAGUAAUGUGGAUUGCUAUCAGUAGCUGACUCUUUCUUGUGGAAUCCUCACCCCUGCCAUCCAUGACCAUCCGUUCAUACAGAAGGAAACUGAACCCAAAGAAAGUGGAAGACCACUUGAGAUGAGACGUGGGUCUUGGAUUCAAACCUAACUUGACCUGACACUGGGAGCAGAGUUUUCAGCCACUAGCCUGCCCCCUGACCCCAGUGAGAAGCAAGAGAAGGCCUGGCCAGAGAUGGCUAUAAUAGACAACCUGCAGGUAUUCAGAGGAGAGUUAGACCUCCUGCAUUGAAUAGAGCUGAGGGUACUUUCUAGGGGAGACAACACUUGUGAUGAAGCCUGGCUUGAUGGCACAUGUCUAUAAUCCCAGCACUUCCAAGAGUAGAGGCAGGAGGAUCAGGGGUUCAAGGUCAGCCUUGGCUAUGUAGGGAGUUUGAGGCCACCCUUGGUUACAUGAGCUAGUACCUCAGAAAUAAAAACAAAACACAAAGCACAAAAUUGUAGUGAACCUUGAAAAAUGGACAGAAUAAAUCAGGUAGGAAUCAAGAAAGGAUGUGUGGCACUGGGGCAAGGAUGUUGGCUAUGGUCUGUUGGGUGUGGGGCGCCCAGAUCAGCACUGAGGAGACAAGGCAGGAGAAACAGGUCAUGUUCA
rnacentral:lncRNA from 1 species